GAUGAACGCUGGCGGCGUGCCUAAUACAUGCAAGUCGAGCGAACGGACGAGAAGCUUGCUUCUCUGAUGUUAGCGACGGACGGGUGAGUAACACGUGGAUAACCUACCUCUAAGACUUGGAUAACUUCGGGAAACCGUAGCUAAUACCGGGUAAUAUUUUGAACCGCAUGGUUCAAAAGUGAAGGACGGUUUUGCUGUCACUUAUAGAUGGAUCCGCGCUGCAUUAGCGAGUUGGUAAGGUAACGGCUUACCAAGGCAACGAUCCUUAGCCGACCUGAGAGGGUGGUCGGCCACAGUGGGAGUGAGACACGGUCCGGACUCCUACGGGGGGCAGAAUUAGGGAAGCUUCCGCAAUGGGCGAAAGCCUGAAGGAGCAACGCCGCGUGAGUGAUGAAGGUCUUCGGAUCGUAAAACUCUGUUAGUAGGGAAGAACAUAUGUGUAAGUAACUGUGCACGUCUUGACGGUACCUAAUCAGAAAGCCACGGCUAACUACGUG
rnacentral:rRNA from 1 species